rnacentral:rRNA from 1 species
AUACGGAGGGUACAAGCGUUAAUCGGAAUUACUGGGCGUAAAGCGCGCGUAGGCGGUUAUUUAAGUCAGAUGUGAAAUCCCUGGGCUCAACCUAGGAACUGCAUCUGAUACUGGGUAACUAGAGUUUUGGAGAGGUAAGUGGAAUUUCCGGUGUAGCGGUGAAAUGCAUAGAGAUCUGAAGGAACACCAGUGGCGAAGGCGACUUACUGGCCAAAAACUGACGCUGAGGUGCGAAAGCGUGGGUAGCAAACAGGAUUAGAAACCCCAGUAGUCC